GAUGAACGCUGGCGGCGUGCCUAAUACAUGCAAGUCGAACGAAGAUUAAUUGGAGUUUACUUUAAUUAAUUUUAGUGGCGAACGGGUGAGUAAUACAUAAGCAACCUACCUAUAUGACUAGGAUAACUAAUGGAAACGAUAGCUAAAACCGGAUAGGUGUUAAUAUGGCAUCAUAUUAAUAUUAAAGGAGAGAGACACAGAUAGAUGGGCUUAUGGCGUAUUAGCUAGUUGGUGGGGUAAGAGCCUACCAAGGCGAUGAUACGUAGCCGACCUGAGCGGGUGAACGGCCACACUGGAACUGAGAGACGGUCCAGACUCCUACGGGAGGCAGCAGUAGGAAAUUUUCGGCAAUGGGGGGAACCCUGACCGAGCAACGCCGCGUGAGUGAUAAGGCCCUAUGGGUUGUAAAGCUCUGUGAUAAGGGAAGAAGCUAUAUAGGUAAUAUAUAGAAGACGGUACCUUAUAAGAAAGCCACGGCUAACUACGUGCCAGCAGCCGCAGUAA
rnacentral:rRNA from 1 species